rnacentral:misc_RNA from 1 species
CGCAGCCGCGGUAAUUCCAGCUCCAAUAGCGUAUAUUAAAGUUGUUGCAGUUAAAAGCUCGUAGUUGAAUUUCGGGAUUGGCGCAUCGGUCGUGCCUUACGGGGUAUGAACUGGUGCAGUCAAUUUCUCACCUUCUGGAGAACCGCGAUGUCCUUAAUUGGGUGCCGCGGGGAACCAGGACCUUUA